CAGAAAACAAGUGAGAGAGAGCCUUCUAUCUUGGAAAAGUUGGGCAAAUGCUCCAUGGAGGUUGUUGGGGAAAGGAGCCAAUCCACGUCCCAUGAGGGGAUGAGGGAUGAAGCCCUGCCUAGAAAAACAAGAGCAACAUGGGGAGUGGGCUACAGUCCUGUCUCAGCCUUGUGGUCUUGGACAUGACCUUUAGCCUUCUGGGACCUCUCUUUCUACCACCUAUUAAGUGAGGGAGCUCUAAAGACCAUCCUGCAUCAGUGAUUUUGCCUCCCCCUGGGGUAAAUGCUGCAGCCAUAGGAGAUAAGGCAGGUUCCUUGUCCUCUUGGGUUUCCAACUAGACCCAAGGCUUCCCCCAGCCCUGCUGACACUGAAGGGCUCCUCCUAGCUCCUCAGCCAAGAAUCGACUUUCUUUUCCUCUCGACAAUCGAUUAUAUUUGGAAACCAGUUCAUUUGGGAGGCCCAUCAUGAAACACCACAAAGAAACUCUUUAGUAAGCCCUCCACCUAUACACACAGACACACACACACACACACACACACACACACACCAAACCCUGAAAUGUAAGUGUUUUCCCUUCUGUGUACCAAACUUCUUUUGGCCCUUUCUACUUGCCAACAAGUUGGGAGAGAGUUCAAUCCCACAAGGAAACGCAUUGCUCCCAUUAGGGAACUCACAAAUCCCACAUGUUUGGGGGUGACCCUGGGCACAGGCUGAAGCUAAAGAUCCUAACACACUUCAACUGCAAUCUAUAAAUGCAGACUUUACCAGCCAAGACUGCAGCAGAAACUAAUUAGCACAGUGCCAGGGUCCUUCCCUCCCUGCUCUCCCACCUCCACUGCCUCCCCCACCAUGGACUUGUUGUUCCCUAACAGCGGUUGCCUGCUCAAGCCUGCCUGUCUGCCUGCACAGAGUGCUGUGGACUUGUUCUGUAAUGCACUGUGUGCGUGUGUGUGUGUGUGUGUGUGUGUGUGUCCUGACUCUGUGGUUUACUGCAAAUAAAAAUGACAGCAGAUGACUGGCCCCUGACCUCCUGAUGGUUUCUUUCCAUGUCAUUACUUGAGAAACCAGGAUUGGCUGAUCUGUUACAGAACUCUGGGGAUGUGCAUGCCUGCCCGGACUCUUCUGUAACCUUUUCACAG
rnacentral:lncRNA from 1 species